CGAGGGUCUUGUACGCACUUGACCGAAACUGUUAGUGAGGAUUUUUCGCAAUACUUGAUCCAAAGUACUGAAGUAGUCCAAACUGAGGGAAAGUAGUUCAUACGGGAAAAUCUUCAUUUCUAGGGUUAGGGUUUCAGAUCUGAGCAAAAUCAUUGGGGAAAGGAUAUGGCGAUGAGAAACUUUUACAACGAGAUCAAGGGCAUGAGAGUGAAGGAGGUGGGGACUUACCUCAAGCCGAUGUUCUCCGUGGGUUACGCGAAGAGUGCUGUGAAGAGGGGAUUGGAUAAUUACCAUGCCAAGUACAUCCAAACCAGCUCCGUUGAUCCCGUCUACCACGUCUGCUUCGGAGGCAUGGCUUUCUCCUACCUCGUCGCCCUCCCCGAAGAGCGUCGCCACCUUGAACACAAGCAACACGCCAAACAUUGAUUCUCCCGAGGCUAUACUUUUUUAUUUUAUUUUAUAAUGAAGAAUAUAUUCUUCACAGUAGCAUCAGGAUGAUUUACAAGUUACCAAAAUGUUAAGAGUCCCCCAAACAUCUUUUCAGCUUACCGAGGACAUGUCCAUUGACAGGAGGGUGUGGAGGUCGAGGAUUAGGGUCUCUUGGGAGUCGAAGUUAGAUGGUUCAGCGAAGGACUAGCAUUGGUGUUUGUCGGCUGCUUUCUGUUUCCUUUUCCUAAUGUGUGCAAAAUUUGGUUCAUUUAGAUUGAUGAAAAUAAAAUUUGUCGUACUACAAGUUCCUAACGUGUAUGCGUUUAUACUUAGUAUUGUCAUGCCUGGAAUAGGCAAAACUGGUUUUGGGUUGUGUUGCGCCCGUUUUAAGGACUGGAUGUAAAGAUUUUUGCUGCGUCCCAAUAUCUACAGCAUGUUAUCUGAUAAUCUCAUUAUGUUGUUACCUUGCU